GUUGUAUGCCUAACUCAAGUAGUUACUGCGGAUGAACUCAAAGAUGAUGAGGAGUAUGAAGACAUCUUGGAAGACAUGAGGAUGGAAGGAGGGAAAUUUGGUACGUUGGUGAAUGUUGUUAUUCCACGCCCAAAGCCAGAUUGUGAAGCUUCAUCAGGAGUUGGGAAGGUGUUCUUGGACUAUGCUGAUGUUGAAGGAGCUACAAAAGCCCGAGCAGGAA
rnacentral:misc_RNA from 1 species